UAAAAUGACAUCCGGACAUGAACAUGAAGUGGAUGAAUGCACAACGAAAUCGUUCAUUUUUUGUAAACAUGGCCCGCAGUAAAAGGUGUUCUUCCCGAUGGAAGCAGCAGCGUGACGUCAUUGUAAAUUAGUUCAUAUGGUUACUUGGGUUAGUUCACAACGGGAGAAUCAUGGCCAGAUUUCUGCAGGUGGAUAGCCAUUGUACUAUAGCCAUCCCUGUGAUUUUCAUUUGAAGAUUUUUUUUUUU